rnacentral:sRNA from 1 species
UAGUACACGUUCGGCAGGACGGGUGUGCAGGCUGCACUGCCCUUGAGUCGUCCAGGCCCUCCGAACCACCACAGCCAGUCGACUCUGAGGCCCCCUCUCCCACCCCCUCACAACCACACGCUGUCCCAUCACCACUCGUCCGCCAACUCCCUCAACAGGAACUCACUGACCAAUCGGCGGAGUCAGAUCCACGCCCCGGCCCCAGCGCCCAAUGACCUGGCCACCACACCAGAGUCUGUUCAGCUUCAGGACAGCUGGGUGCUAAACAGCAACGUGCCACUGGAGACCCGGCACUUCCUCUUCAAGACCUCCUCGGGGAGCACACCCUUGUUUAGCAGCUCUUCCCCGGGAUACCCUUUGACCUCAGGAACGGUUUACACGCCCCCGCCCCGCCUGCUGCCCAGGAAUACUUUCUCCAGGAAGGCUUUCAAGCUGAAGAAGCCCUCCAAAUACUGCAGCUGGAAAUGUGCCGCCCUCUCCGCCAUUGCCGCGGCCCUCCUCUUGGCUAUUUUGCUGGCGUAUUUCAUAGCAAUGCAUCUGCUCGGACUCAAUUGGCAACUCCAGC